rnacentral:rRNA from 1 species
UACGAAGGGGGCGAGCGUUGUUCGGAUUCAUUGGGCGUAAAGGGUGCGUAGGCGGCGCGGUAAGUCGGAUGUGAAAUCUCGGGGCUUAACUCCGAAACUGCAUUCGAUACUGCCGUGCUUGAGGACUGGAGAGGAGACUGGAAUUUACGGUGUAGCGGUGAAAUGCGUAGAUAUCGGAAGGAAGACCAGUGGCGAAGGCGGGUCUCUGGACAGUUCCUGACGCUGAGGCACGAAGGCCAGGGGAGCAAACGGG